UACAGAGGUGGCAAGCGUUGUUCGGAAUUACUGGGCGUAAAGCGUGCGCAGGCGGUUUUGUAAGCCAGAUGUGAAAUCCCCGGGCUUAACCUGGGAAUGGCAUUUGGGACUGCAAGGCUUGAGUUUGGCAGAGGAGACUGGAAUUCCUGGUGUAGCAGUGAAAUGCGUAGAUAUCAGGAGGAAUACCGAUGGCGAAGGCAGGUCUCUGGGCUAGAACUGACGCUCAUGCACGAAAGCGUGGGGAGCAAACGGG
rnacentral:rRNA from 1 species